GCCACUAUUUUAUUUUCUAAAAAAAAAAAGCCAAAAUUAUAAACUCUUCUUCUCCUUUCUUCUCACGGCAGCAUCUACAAUUCUAAUGGUUGAGGAAUGUUUUUCUUCUUAAUGAAAGAAGGCUACAAAUUUUGGGACCUAUUAUUUUCUAGGACUAAGAAAAUUUUAUUUUCUUAUUCUUCUUCCUACAGGCGCACAGGGUUAGGGUUGUAUUUGUAUAUGCUUUCUAUGAAGGGUCGAUGGUGGUGAUGGUGGUGCCGUUAGUGUUCGGUGGUGGGUUCACACUAAAUCUCACAGAUUUUAGCAGAUUAUAAGGCUUCAACAAUCAGUCGAAAUUAAUCUGGAAGGCUCCAAUAAUAACUGCAAAUUAAUAGCAGCAGACAGUUUUUUUUUAAAAAACUAUUGCAAAGAUGUUUCAUUUUUGAUAUAUAAAUUGUGUAAAUGAAUGGGUGCUUAUGUGAAUAGGUAUCUUCCGAAUAGUUAUGUUGUUUUGUAAAUUUUUUGAAAAUGGGUCUUUUUCAAUUGUGUAUCUGUAAUUUUUUUCAAUUGGGUCUUUUGAAGAUAUUAGCACGUUGUAUUUUUUUUGUUUAAUUUUUAUUUUUUGUAAUUUUUUCAACUGUUCUGAAUUAUGAUUAUGAAACAUUAUUUAUAUUAUUAGUUAAUGUAUUUUCUUGUAACUUUUUGAAGAGUCACAAUUUGUUUUAUU